GGGCGUUUAGCUCAGUGGUAGAGCGCCCGUUCUGCAUACGGGAGGCCGUGGGUUCGAACCCCACAAUGUCCA